GAUGAACGCUGGCGGCGUGCCUAAUACAUGCAAGUCGAGCGAAUGGACGAGAAGCUUGCUUCUCUGAUGUUAGCGGCGGACGGGUGAGUAAUACGUGGAUAACCUACCUAUAAGACUGGGAUAACUUCGGGAAACCGUAGCUAAUACCGGAUAAUAUUUUGAACCGCAUGGUUCAAAAGUGAAAGACGGUCUUGCUGUCACUUAUAGAUGGAUCCGCGCUGCAUUAGCUAGUUGGUAAGGUAACGGCUUACCAAGGCAACGAUGCAUAGCAGACCUGAGAGGAUGAUCGGCCACACUGGAACUGAGACACGGUCCAGACUCCUACGGGAGGCAGCAGUAGGGAAUCUUCCGCAAUGGGCGAAAGCCUGACGGAGCCACGCCGCGUGAGUGAUGAAGGUCUUCGGAUCGUAAAACUCUGUUAUUAGGGAAGAACAUCUGUGUAAGUAACUGUGCCCUUCUUGACGGUACCUAAUCAGAAAGCCACGGCUAACUACGUG
rnacentral:rRNA from 1 species